rnacentral:rRNA from 1 species
UACGAACCGUCCAAACGUUACUCGGAAUCACUGGGCUUAAAGGGUGCGUAGGCCGCGCGGUGGGUGGGAUGUGAAAUCCCCCGGCUCAACCGGGGAAUAGCGUCCCAAACCGCCGUGCUCGAGGGAGACAGAGGUGAGCGGAACUGAUGGUGGAGCGGUGAAAUGCGUUGAUAUCAGCAGGAACACCAGUGGCGAAAGCGGCUCACUGGGUCUUUCCUAACGCUGAGGCACGAAAGCUAGGGGAGCGAACGGG